AUUCUUGAUAAUAAACUUCAGCCACGGAGAUAAACUCUUUCGCACCCCAAUCCUGUCAAAGAUACUUUAGAUCACACCAUUUCGGAAUCCAGGAGUGGAUGAGGAGGGAGUUAUCUGGAAUUCUAUGCGAAAGGGAAGGCCAAACCAGACCGCUAUGGCAAAGGUGCAAUGGAGGUAACAUGGUCGAUGGAUUCCAUUGCUUCACCUCAACGGGAACAAGUAAGGUGGAUGGGAAGCACUUGGAUGUGUGCCCAGAUGCUGCCAGCAAUCGGAUAUGCAUUGGACGCGCUGGCUUGUUGGAGAGGAUAGGUUCAAGUGCUACAUUCAUUUGAAGGAUUUGCUUUUGUGAAUCUCACGGAAAGGAUGGUGGCUACGUUGAGAAACAUGGAUAUAAAAGUGAAGAGCAUUGAAGAUGAGAGGUGUAUCAUUCCAAUGGGGUGGUACCCUUGCUGUGCUCCUUCAAGGGGUUGUAGGAAUAUGUGGAACUGCAGGGAUGGUAAACACCUCAACUUGGUAUAUGGUAGCAAGAUCUAGAGCCAUAUUACUGUCAUGGAUUCUUGUCAUCCCCGAUUGUUUCUUAUUGAGCUUAUAUAUUUUGGGCUUUCUCUAUUCUCUCAUGCCUCCAAUACUUCUAGGAUAGAGAUUAUGGCCAAGGGCACAGUUCCUUUGGUUAACAUAAUUGGCAACUUAAUACAGGACAGAGACUAGUGGAAGAUUUCCAUUUGGCAUCUAAAGUUUAAUCACUAUUGUAACUUCUUGAGUUUGUAGUUAUGGGAUUUUCUUAUUUAAUCUUGUUAACAGACAUCAGACAUCCUCUGCUUGAAUUAUUUAUAGUGGAGGGGAUCCAAAUACCCAACAUUUCUGCUCAUGUGUGGUACAACAUGUAUGUAUUAUGCAAUAAAUUUCUCAUUUGGACUAUUUAUAUGAAGAAUUAGAGGCUGUUAGACUGUAAUUUUUGGAUAUGUUUCCAAAGGCUGAACUUUUAUGCUUAAGGAAUUUCAUUGUAAUUUUUGAAUUGAUUCAGGAUUCCUAUAAUCAAAACAGCUCAAACUGUGUAGCACAAUGUACAUAAAAACAAACAUAGAUAAGAACAUUCAGUUGACAUGUUACAUAUUUGUAACCUAAAUAGGUAGAGUGAUUGCAUCCUUCUUGAAGAGGAUGAGUACAUCAUAUGGUCAUGCGAUGUCUGAGAAACAGAGGACGGUUUAUCGACUUCUAUUACUCAACCUAUUCAUUCCCAUUAAAUGAUGCCAGGAAUACUUGGGAUUGUACUAUGAGUCCUAAAAUAUGAUGCUAAGCAAGAAACCUAUGCCACCUAUUGAUCUACAUACUCAUGAAAAUCCCAACUGUUCUGACAAGAUUUAGUAAUCAGGCAGACAUAAUCAAGGAGUCCUAAGUUUCAUUACCAAACAUACAAAUAAAGCAUUUUGGGUAUAGUUUCUAUUGCAACUGGAAAAAUUGCUGUUGCCUUUAGAUCCAGGAUACAUAAUGCCCAGUAAGUAAUUGCUAUAAUACACUGUUUUCAAUCGACGGAACUACACUGUGUUCGUUAACACAGUUGCCAUCAGAUCCAUUAUGUAUUUUUUCUUUGCUUUCUAAGUGGUAGCAGGUUUGUCUUAGUUCUUGUCUUCUUGAAUUUUGUUUAUAGGAGAUGACUUCUAGACUUAAAAAUCAUUGAGUGGUAAGUUUUUGGUUAUAUUUCAGUCAUCACAAAGUAUAAUGUAGGGGACUCCCUAAUAAUAAUAUAAGAUCAACUUCUGAAAGAAAUAAUUAUGUGCACGAAAUGUUCCAUGUCUGGUAAAAUAGAAUACAGAAACUUGACCUUUUCAACUCAAAGUUUAGUUUAUUCAAUGUGUAAACUUCUAAGUUCAAACUCUAAAAGAAAUUGAAAAUACACAAAAUCCUCCCAGGAAAGAAGAUAAAGAAGCAGUUCCAAUGGUUAGAGAAAGUUCCAAACAGACCUAAGCCAAGAGCACAUCAUAUAGAGAGCUUGAGAAUUUUAUUUUUUGAAGGCCAAAAUACUGGCUAUAUUUCUUUAUUGUUGCAUCAUGAUUAAUAGUAGUGAAUUUUCCUUGAGGGAGUUGGAGUUUUCCGUUCUUCUUCGCUCCUCUGGGGAAUAUUGAAAAGUAGGUCUGUACAAAAGUGAGAAGGAUAAUACCUCCUGCAACAAAGAAUGCAACAACGUCCAGGGGCUACUGAAAUGUGUAGCCGAAGCUGGUCAUCCAUAUAGAAAUCUUCUUGUUGCAGUGCUUUUCAAUAUUUCUCUUACUUCAAGAAUUCGAAGUGCUGGUACCAGGUUGAUUGCCAAUUCAUUGAAAAGAUCGGCCACUUGUUGGUCGCUGCCAAGUAAAUUUUGGAUAUGCCCUUAGAUCUCAUCUCUUUCACGUCUUCAGGAUGAUCAAUAAGUGCAUCCAGUAAAACAAGUAUGAGGUGACCACAUAAGUCUCUGGGACCACCAGGGCUUGCUCGUAAGCUACAAGUUCAAGAGUAUUGACUUUGUUGAAUCAUCAAUGACAAGUUGAGGAAGGAACAGAUCUCCACUAAUAAAGUAAUCUUUAUACUUAACAUCUCUUAAUGUCCCACCACAACUCCUCUUGCACUUGAUCCCUGCUUUUUUAAGCUCAAUCACUGAACGAAAGGAGUGCCAACCAUCAUUGCACUUUUCUGGAGAUUCAGGCGUUCUCUCUUAACCAAUGAGCUUCUUGUGGAGUAGGUCAAGGAGGUGAGCAGGUGUACCAACAUUAUCUGUAGAUGAUGUGCUUUCUAGCUGAAGUGGUAUCUUUACAAAUUCGUGGAUGAGAUCUUGCCAUUCACUUUCAUUGGGUCUGAAGCUCAUCAAUGCCUGAAGAACCAGAUAGGGCAGUUGGUUCUCCAGCAAGAACAAGUCCCUUAAUACGAAAUCUAUUUGAUCAGUCUUCAUCUUUGGAUCCCUGUGCUUGUCAUUGACUACACAAUCAAUGAAAUGGAGAACAAAACAACCAUCCAGGAACAUCAUGCGUGUGAAUUGAUCAUCACUAAAAUCUGCUGUUGAAGUCUUUUCAUAAUAUGCCCUUGCAUUGCAUUGCAAGAAACCUCGUCAAAGUUGACAAAUUUUUCAGUCUGUCCACCAAUGAACUCCUUUGCUAUUAAAGCCUUGAGCUUCUCCACUCGUGCAAACUUUGGGUUCCCAUCUUUAUCUUUAUCCUGAUUGUGAUAAGGACCAAUGGAGACCACACUGGGAUCAAAGCAAUUUUUGUGGUGAUUAAUGUCCCGCAGAAUUGUUGGAACCUUAGCUAUUCCAGCCUUUGUUUGAGGUUGAGGGGUUUCUGGCUCACCUAGUAUGGACAGCAACCACUGUGGACAGGACCUUUCACGCUCAUCAACUAUUAUAUUGUCAGGCUUGGUACUGCCUCUACUAGCUUCAUUGAAAUUUUCUAUAACCACCAUCCUCUUCUCCGGCCUCUCAAUUGAAACCGAAUGUCUUUCAUUGGCGCUGGCCGCUGGCCAUCAUUGGAACACGCAACAAAAGUGAUUUUUCCUUGAGGGAUUUGGAGAUUUCCGUUCUCCAUCGCCUCAUCUUCCUCCUCCUCCUUUGGGAAAUAUGAAGAAGUAGGUCUGCGCAAAGGUGAGAAGGAUAAUACUACCUGCAAUAAAGAAGGCAAGAAUAGUCCAGGGGCUACUGAAAUGUGUAUGCCAAAGUUCGGUCAUCCACACAGAAACAUCCCUGUUGUAGUGCUUCUCAAUCCUGCUCUUAACAUCAAGAAAUUCGGUAGGGCUUGGUACCAGGGUGAUUGCCAAUUCAUUGUAAAGAUCAGCCUCAUGUUGGUCAGUGCCAAGUAUAUUUUGGAGUAUGCCCUUAGAACUCAGCUCCUUCACAUCUUCAGCAUGAUCCAUAAGUGCAUUCAGUAAAACAAUGUAUGAGGUGACCACAUAGUCUCUGGGACCAUCAGGGAUUGCUUCAUAAUCUACCAAGUUCAAGAGUAUUGACUUUGUUGAAUCAUCGAUGACAAGUGGAGGAGGGAACAGAUGUCCACUGAUAUACCAAUCUUUAUAUUUAACUUCUCUUAAGGUCCCACUGUCGCUCUUCUUGCACUUGAUCCCGGCUUUUCUAAGCUCAAUGACUGAAUGAAAAAGUGCCAAUCAUCAUUAUACUUUCCAGAAUUCAGGCAUUCUCUCUUCACCAAUGAGCUUCUUGCGGAGUAGGUCAAGGAGGUGAGCAUGUUUAUCAAUCUUUUCUUGAGAUGUUGUGCUUUGGAGCUUAAGUGGAAUCCUAACAAAGUUGUUGAUGAGUUCUUGCCAUUUACUUCCAUUGUGUCUGAAGCUCAUCAAUGCCUGAAGAACCAGAAUGGGCAGUUGGUUCUCAAGCAAGAAGAAGUCCCUUAAUACAAAAGACAUUUGAUCAGUGUUCAUCAUUGUAUCAUUGAGGCAUUGAGCCUGCCAUUGACUACACAAUCAAUGAAAUGGAGAACAAAGCAACCAUCCAGGAACAUCAUGCAAGUGAAUUCAUCAUCACUUAAAUAUGCUGUCAAAGUCUUUUCAUAAUAUGGCUUUGCAUUGCGAGACACUUCCUCAAAUUUCAUUAAUUUUUUUCACUCUCUCCACCAAUGAACUCCUUUAACAUUGAAGCCUUGAGUAUUUCCACGUGUGCAAACUUUGGUUUCCCAUCUUUAUUUUUGUCCUGAUUGUGAUAAGGACCAAUGGAGACCACCAUGGGAUCAAAGCAAUCCUUGGGUUUUUUCAUUGUCCUGCAAAAUUGCAGUUAUAUGAUGACUAAAAGUAGAAAGGUCUUUUAAUUUCUUUGCUCACAU